UGAGGAAUAUUGAGCAAUGGGCGCAAGCCUGACUCAGCAACGCCGCGUGGACGAUGACGGCCUUCGGGUUGUAAAGUCCUUUUCUGAGGGACGAUGAUGACGGUACCUCAGGAAGAAGUCCCGGCUAACUACGUGCCAGCAGCCGCGGUAAGACGUAGGGGGCGAGCGUUAUCCGGAUUUACUGGGCGUAAAGCGCAUGUAGGCGGUUGGGAAAGUUGGACGUAAAAGCUCCCGGCUUAACUGGGAGAGGUCGUACAAAACUACCCGAAUUGAGGUUGGAAGAGGAGAGUGGAAUUCCCGGUGUGGUGGUGGAAUGCGUAGAUAUCGGGAGGAACACCAGUGGCGAAAGCGGCUCUCUGGACCAAUACUGACGCUGAGAUGCGAAAGCGUGGGGAGCAAACGG
rnacentral:rRNA from 1 species